rnacentral:rRNA from 1 species
GACGAACGCUGGCGGCGUGCUUAACACAUGCAAGUCGAACGGAAAGGCCCUGCUUUUGUGGGGUGCUCGAGUGGCGAACGGGUGAGUAACACGUGAGUAACCUGCCCUUGACUUUGGGAUAACUUCAGGAAACUGGGGCUAAUACCGGAUAGGAGCUCCUGCUGCAUGGUGGGGGUUGGAAAGUUUCGGCGGUUGGGGAUGGACUCGCGGCUUAUCAGCUUGUUGGUGGGGUAGUGGCUUACCAAGGCUUUGACGGGUCGCCGGCCUGAGAGGGUGACCGGCCACAUUGCGACUGAGAUACGGCCCAGACUCCUACGGGAGGCAGCAGUGGGGAAUAUUGCCCAAUGGGCGGAAGCCUGAUGCAGCAACGCCGCGUGCGGGAUGACGGCCUUCGGGUUGUAAACCGCUUUCGCCUGUGACGAAGCGUGAGUGACGGUAAUGGGUAAAGAAGCACCGGCUAACUACGUG